UGUCAUAUGAUUCGAGCAACCACUGUCAAGAAACCACACAUCUCCAGUUAAUUCCAUACCUUCCUCUUUGGCCAUGAAAAGCUUGAGCUCCUCGUCAUUCUCCUCUUCUUCAGUAUAAUUGGCCUACUCAGCUCUUUUCCAGCAAUUUGCUUUUACAUGACCAAAGCGCUUGCAAUAAUGGCACUGCACAUUACGCCCUCUUGCACAUUUGCCCUGAUAACCUCCUCAUCCUCUUCGUCUAUUCUG
rnacentral:lncRNA from 1 species